rnacentral:piRNA from 1 species
AACCCCGCGCGCGUGUCCCGGUGUGGCGGUGG